CUGAAAGGCAUACAGGAAGACGAUGGGAAUGAUGAUGGCCAAGCCGAUGGUCUUGAAGUACUUCUUGUACAUCUCCAACCUCACCUGUUGUAGAAAAACAAAAAAUACCAGUCAGUCUCAAGGAUUCAGAGAACUUGACUUACCCUUCCGGUGCGGGCCUUGUCAACCACAGUCAGCUUGCCCAAGUCCUCUGGUACCUGUUCCUGGUCUGCUUCAGACACAGGCUCCAUAUUCUGCAGGUUGGUAUUAGUGGUGUCUCCCCUGGAGAAUAUGGAGAGGUCAAAGGUCUCUGGAGAAUGGCAUGAAGUCGACCAUGCUGAGGCGAGCAUUGGACCUCCUGGAACCAGCUACAGGAAACGGACAUGUUAAUUGCACAUGUUAAGUUUUCUUUUCUACAUACUAUGAGUUUAUUUAUGACAAAUC